rnacentral:rRNA from 1 species
GAUGAACGCUAGCGAUAGGCUUAACACAUGCAAGUCGAGGGGUAACGUGUUGGAAGCUUGCUUCCGAUGACGACGACCGGCGGAUGGGUGCGUAACGCGUAUGCAACUUGCCUCACAGUGGAGAAUAACCCGGAGAAAUCCGGACUAAUGUUCCAUACACUCUUUAGCACGCCUGUGCGUAAGAGGAAAGAUUUAUCGCUGUGAGAUAGGCAUGCGUCCUAUUAGGUAGUUGGUGAGGUAACGGCUCACCAAGCCGACGAUAGGUAGGGGUGCUGAGAGGCAGAUCCCCCACAUUGGGACUGAGACACGGCCCAAACUCCUACGGGAGCAGCAGUGAGGAAUAUUGGUCAAUGGAGGAAACUCUGAACCAGCCAAGUCGCGUGAAGGAAGAAUGUCCUAAGGAUUGUAAACUUCUUUAGCGAGUGAGUAAGGACUUCCACGCGUUGGGAUUAAGCUCGAGAAUAAGUAUCGG